rnacentral:rRNA from 1 species
GACGAACGCUGGCGGUGUGCUUCACACAUGCAAGUCGAACGAGGUAGCAAUACCUAGUGGCGGACGGGUGAGUAACGCGUGGGAAUCUGCCUUUAGAUGGGGGAUAACGGGUCGAAAGACUCGCUAAUACCGCAUAUGACGAAAGUUGAAGGAGUAAUCCGUCUAAAGAUGAGCCCGCGUCCGAUUAGCUAGUUGGUAGAGUAAAAGCCUACCAAGGCGACGAUCGGUAGCUGGUCUGAGAGGAGUGAUCAGCCACAAUGGGACUAGAAGACACGGCCCAUACUCCUACGGGAGGCAGCAGUGGGGAAUUUUACGCAAUGGGCGAAAGCCUGACGUAGCGACACCGCGUGAGCGAAGAAGCCCC